CGGACGGGUGAGUAACACGUGGGUAACCUGCCCAUAAGACUGGGAUAACUCCGGGAAACCGGGGCUAAUACCGGAUAAUAUUUUGAACUGCAUGGUUCGAAAUUGAAAGGCGGCUUCGGCUGUCACUUAUGGAUGGACCCGCGUCGCAUUAGCUAGUUGGUGAGGUAACGGCUCACCAAGGCAACGAUGCGUAGCCGACCUGAGAGGGUGAUCGGCCACACUGGGACUGAGACACGGCCCAGACUCCUACGGGAGGCAGCAGUAGGGAAUCUUCCGCAAUGGACGAAAGUCUGACGGAGCAACGCCGCGUGAGUGAUGAAGGCUUUCGGGUCGUAAAACUCUGUUGUUAGGGAAGAACAAGUGCUAGUUGAAUAAGCUGGCACCUUGACGGUACCUAACCAGAAAGCCACGGCUAACUACGUGCCAGCAGCCGCGGUAAUACGUAGGUGGCAAGCGUUAUCCGGAAUUAUUGGGCGUAAAGCGCGCGCAGGUGGUUUCUUAAGUCUGAUGUGAAAGCCCACGGCUCAACCGUGGAGGGUCAUUGGAAACUGGGAGACUUGAGUGCAGAAGAGGAAAGUGGAAUUCCAUGUGUAGCGGUGAAAUGCGUAGAGAUAUGGAGGAACACCAGUGGCGAAAGCGACUUUCUGGUCUGU
rnacentral:rRNA from 1 species